UACGUAGGCAGCAAGCGUUGUUCGGAAUUACUGGGCGUAAAGAGUGUGUAGGCGGUGUUCUAAGUUUGUCGUGAAAUCUCCCGGCUUAACUGGGAGGGUGCGGCGAAAACUGGAAUGCUAGAGGAUGGGAGAGGUAAGCGGAAUUCCUGGUGUAGCGGUGAAAUGCGUAGAUAUCGGGAGGAACGACCUGUGGCGAAAGCGGCUCACUGGACCACAACUGACGCUGAGGCGCGAAGCUAGGGGAGCAACAGG
rnacentral:rRNA from 1 species